rnacentral:rRNA from 1 species
UACAUGGGGUGCAAACGUUGCUCGGAAUUAUUGGGCGUAAAGCGCACGUAGGCGGUUUGUUAAGUCGGAUGUGAAAUCCCUCGGCUCAACUGAGGAAGUGCAUCCGAAACUGGCAAGCUUGAGUACGAAAGAGGGUCGCGGAAUUCCCGGUGUAGAGGUGAAAUUCGUAGAUAUCGGGAGGAACACCGGUGGCGAAGGCGGCGACCUGGUCCUUGACUGACGCUGAGGCGCGAAAGCGUGGGGAGCAAACAGG